CAACCGUGGCGAUUUGAGCUGACCGGCUUGCGGCCACGUAAAACAUACCGCUAAAAGGUCGCAGCC
rnacentral:ncRNA from 1 species